UUGCCCAGUGAUUAUAGCAAGACGCGUUAUUACGAGGACUUAUGCUGGAUCUCUUCCUACUUCUCUUCCUCCUCCUACUUUGCCCCUUCCUCUUUCACCUUAUUCCUCACUUUCCCUAGGGUAUCCAGCGUCCUGUGAGCAAGACUGAGAUAUGAGGGCAA
ensembl:snoRNA